rnacentral:antisense_RNA from 1 species
GGUAGCCAAAGAUAACGGCUGGAUUCAAGGUGGGGUUGCUGAUUAUACGAACAUCACCACCACCAGGUGCCCAAGUGUCGUAAACACCACCAAAGAACAUAGCUUUGAGUACCAACAGGAAGGCACCACAUCCAAGGAUGAUUAGGUGGAAACCAAUAAUGUUGGUCAUCUUGUUCUUAUCUUUCCA